rnacentral:lncRNA from 1 species
AAAAAAAAAAAUUAAAAGCAUAACAAAAAAUCAACAAUGUAAAUGAUUGAAAGAUAUAAAUCACUAACCUCAAUUGUAUUUAUUCAAGGCAGCAACCUCUCUCCUUUCCAGAAAUCGCCACACAUUCAAUACUGAUUCAAGACCAUUGAAUUUUGCACCACUAAAAACUCAAAUUUGAGGUGCUUGUACCCAGAAAUUUUCACUAUAAAAUACUUAUCCGGUACUUAGAAAUGCCUUGUCAAAGACAGGGUACACAAAACUGCCAAGGCCGUGAACCCACUUGUGUUCGAAAAUUCACCAAAAAAUUCGUUAUAGCUCCAAAUUGAUCGUAUAAUAUCUU